rnacentral:lncRNA from 1 species
AUGGUGUUCACUGCGUACUUGCUGGCAGGUCUCCUGACCUAUGGAGGAGCGUCUCGAAGGACUGUUCCUCCAUGUGACCAGCACGCGUUUUACAGUAAUAUUGACAUCUGCCUGUCAGACUUCAACAGAAGCCUGGAGUCCAGCGGCCAUGAGCAGAGCUGCCCGUGGCCGGCAGUCAAAAGCUCCUAUAACAGACUGAAGGCCUGCGUGGACCACUGGGCCAUCUCCUUUUGGUGUAAAGGUCACAAGUACUUGGUGGAUGACGUGUUCUUGGGGGUCCAUCAGAAGUACUUCUCUGUCUGUGACUACAACCGUGACCCCCCACUCACUACUCUUCUGACCUUAAUAUUACCCGGUGUCAUUGCCACUUUUCUUAUUCCUUUUUUGUGUCUUUGCAUUGUUAAUGUGGAAACCUAA